rnacentral:rRNA from 1 species
CGCUCUUUGUUCACAGCACAUAAAGAGUCGAACCUGCCCAGUGAUUUAUAUUUAACGGCCGCGGUACUCUGACCGUGCAAAGGUAGCAUAAUCAUUUGCCUUAUAAUUAAAGGCUAGUAUGAAUGGUUUGACAAGAAUGAAGCUGUCUCUAUACAAAUUUUGUAGAAUUUGGUUUUUAGGUGAAGAAACCUAAAUAAAAUUGAAAGACAAGAAGACCCUAUCGAGCUUAAAAUAAAUUUCUUGAUUUUAUGUUAAAAUCAGUUUCAAGGAAAGAUUUUGGUUGGGGCGACUAAGGAACACUAAAAGCUUCCUAUAAAACAUAUAGACUUUGAGGUUUUGAUCCAAAAGCUUUGAUUAACAGAAUUAGUUACCGUAGGGAUAACAGCAUAAUCUUUUUUGAGAGUUCUUAUCGAAAAAAAGGUUUGUGACCUCGAUGUUGGACUAGGGUAUCCAGAAAGGUGCAGAAGCCUUCAAUGGUUGGUCUGUUCGACCAUUAACACCCUACA